GAACAAAUCACCAGAAUGAGUCAAGAGUACCAGCAAAGAAGCUUUCACCAGAUAUUCUGCAAGAAAAAUAUUUAUCGAUAGUUGCAAACUCCUUCUCGUUAAGGAUCCUGAAGUAAAAGAGGAGGUUAGGGAAAAGGAUGCAAGUUAAAAAGAAAAUGGAAGUUAUUAUGAAUUGAUUUUGGAGAAAAAUAUCAGUCAACCAGAUAGGGAGGGAGGAGGGACCUACCUGCCUAGGCAUAGGACUUGAACAAGAUGCUAGGAAUAAUUUAUAACCACAUUUGGCUUAGUAUAAGGCCAUUAUCACAGUUAUAGGAAAUACAUAUAUUUCUUUAUAUACAUAUAAAAGAAAGCUGUCAUGCUGCUCUAGUUCUACUGUAAAUGAGACUUAUCCACCUCUGAAGGCUGUCAGUUCCAUUUUGUUAGCUGGGUAGAACACCUCUUUUCUUAUAAAUUUUUACUGAGAAUUCUUUUUUCCAGAAAUUUCUGCCAAGAGAUUAAUGUCCAGCCUAAGCAAAUAUUUUUAAGGAAAAAAGCUGCAUUAGUCACCAGUUUCUGUCAGAAACAAUAUUCUUGUUUCUGUAUAAUAUUUAGUGUUUAAAAUUCACAUGCUCAGACAAUUCUAUUAUUCCUGCUGUGCACUCAUUCUACAUUUUAAAUGACAUUUCUUGGAAUACAGAACAAGAUUUUAUGCCACAGAGGCAGAUAUCCUUCACAGGGCAAACCACAAUAAGUCCUCUCCAAUUUGUUGCACCUUAUAAUAUUCCUCCCUCCACCUUCCUGAAGAAGAAUCGAGUCCCACAGCUCAUCUUCCCAAGUGAAACUCGCUGACAUCUCACUGCUGUGAGAUCCAUCUUUCACCAUGUAUGUGCAGUCCUGGUUACGUCAGCCCUCCCCCAUUACUCAAGUGCUGUAAUUCAUGCCCUACGUCAGCUUGGUAAUACCCUGCAGCUGCUCAAAGGCAUGGGACCCCUGCAUCCUCCUGCCAUUCAGUAACAACGUUUCUCUUGAUUUUGGUGGAGGAAGAACAGUCUUUCAGCCUCUUCUGUGCUGUAGCUUCCUCGAAGACUGCCUCAUUCACUCACCUCUAAAAAAGUCCAGCCUUUAAAGCUGGACCCUGGAUGAUGCUUUCUCUUGUUUUAACCGACAAGUUUGCAAAGUGCCCAAAACCCUGCAGAUUUCCUUUUCCUUUGCUCUGAGGCAUGAGUGGACAGGCAGUCCAAUACCGGAGCUUUCUGCAUGCUGGAGAGGGUUUGUUUUUUGCAUAACAGAUAUUACUUGAGCGUGUCACUUAUGGGUGACUCAAUGGUGAAUAUUACUUUGAAGUUCUCUCAGGACUUUCAGCCUUUCUUCAGAAGACUAACUGUUGUUUCAUGAGUAAAACAGGAACUGACUUCUGUUAAUAUGCAGUGAAUAAUAAAUUUAUUUAUAAGACUGCAAAAAUUUAAUGCAAAAUUCAGUUAAAUUUCUAUUCAAGUAUCUCAUGUCCUCCUUCUAACUUUCUCCUGCACGUUAAAGUAGAAAUAUUAUUUUCCAUUUCUUUUAUUAAAUUUUAUUUUAAUGCUACCAUGCAUGAUUGAAAAGUUCCCGCCUUUCUACCUAAUGGAACUGCAUUCUUUUCUAU